rnacentral:rRNA from 1 species
UACGUAGGGUGCGAGCGUUGUUCGGAAUUACUGGGCGUAAAGGGCUCGUAGGCGGCCAACUAAGUCAGACGUGAAAUCCCUCGGCUUAACCGGGGAACUGCGUCUGAUACUGGAUGGCUAGAGGUUGGGAGAGGGAUGCGGAAUUCCAGGUGUAGCGGUGAAAUGCGUAGAUAUCUGGAGGAACACCGGUGGCGAAAGCGGCUUACUGGGUCUCUUCUGACGCUGAGGAACGAAAGCCAGGGGAGCGAACGGG